rnacentral:sRNA from 1 species
GUGCUUCUUCCCGCGCGGCUCCGCCUGCCGCGCGCUUCCGCUGCUGGCCAGUCCUUCUGCCCCUCCCCCUCCUGUUAACACAGAAAUCUGCCUCCUGGGCCAUGCCGCUUCUAAGGCCUGUUUCUUCUCAUGAGCCCCAGCACAAGACAGAUGGGCCAGUUCUCACAGUGGAUAACUUCCCCUGCCUGAGCAAGAGAUGGGAUAGUAUCUGGGAUCUGUCCAUCACCAGACUCUGAGCUUAAUAAGGCAGCUGAAUGAAGGGAGGUAACGGACCCCUGAGAGGGGCACUGAAGUCUGCAGUGGGGGGGGAGG